GGCUUUGCCCCGAGCCUCUUCGUGUCAAAAGCUGUGAACCGCUGCUCGACCUACGCUCGAUUCCAACGAGGUUCCUCUGUAGCACCGCGGCUCGCCACCGAUCGCGUGCCACCGUAGUGGCCAGCCGCCUGAUCGUGAGCCAACGGCUCGGAUCCGAUCUGACCGGAGUCAACCAGUCAGCGUACCGGUCCACCACUAGUCAGCCUUGCUGCUUUAGCUAAAGAGACCCCUAGCUUUCCACUUUUUUGCAACCGCAUCUCAGCUAGUUCAAAAGUAAUUAGGUUUUAGUCCUUCUUGUUUUAGCCCCUGC
rnacentral:lncRNA from 1 species